CCUGGUUGAUCCUGCCAGUAGUCAUAUGCUUGUCUCAAAGAUUAAGCCAUGCAUGUCUAAGUGCAUGCCAAAUUAAGGUGAAACCGCGAAUGGCUCAUUAAAUCAGUUAUGGUUCCUUAGAUCGUACCCACAUUUACUUGGAUAACUGUGGUAAUUCUAGAGCUAAUACAUGCAAACCAGAGUUCCGACCAGAGAUGGAAGGAACGCUUUUAUUAGAUCAAAACCAAUCGGUGGCGGGCUUUGCUCGUCCACCGUUUACUUUGGUGACUCUGAAUAACUUUGUGCUGAUCGCACGGUCUCGUACCGGCGACGCAUCUUUUAAAUGUCUGCCUUAUCAACUGUCGAUGGUAGGUUCUGCGCCUACCAUGGUUGUAACGGGUAACGGGGAAUCAGGGUUCGAUUCCGGAGAGGGAGCCUGAGAAACGGCUACCACAUCCAAGGAAGGCAGCAGGCGCGCAAAUUACCCACUCCCGGCACGGGGAGGUAGUGACGAAAAAUAACGAUACGGGACUCAUCCGAGGCCCCGUAAUCGGAAUGAGUACACUUUAAAUCCUUUAACGAGGAUCAAUUGGAGGGCAAGUCUGGUGCCAGCAGCCGCGGUAAUUCCAGCUCCAAUAGCGUAUAUUAAAGUUGUUGCGGUUAAAAAGCUCGUAGUUGAAUCUGUGUCGCACGCUGUCGGUUCGCCGCUCGCGGUGUUUAACUGACAUGCUCGUGAGACGUCCUACCGGUGGGCUUAGCUCCUUCGGGGGCGGUCCAACUAAUAUCCCAUCGCGGUGCUCUUUAUUGAGUGUCGAGGUGGGCCGGUACGUUUACUUUGAACAAAUUAGAGGGCUUAAAGCAGGCUAUCAUUUGCCUGAAUAUUCUGUGCAUGGAAUAAUGGAAUAGGACCUCGGUUCUAUUUUGUUGGUUUUAAGAAACCCGAGGUAAUGAUUAAUAGGGACAGAUGGGGGCAUUCGUAUUGCGACGUUAGAGGUGAAAUUCUUGGAUCGUCGCAAGACGGACAGAAGCGAAAGCAUUUGCCAAAAAUGUUUUCAUUAAUCAAGAACGAAAGUUAGAGGUUCGAAGGCGAUCAGAUACCGCCCUAGUUCUAACCAUAAACGAUGCCAGCUAGCGAUCCGCCGAAGUUCCUCCGAUGACUC
rnacentral:rRNA from 1 species